rnacentral:rRNA from 1 species
AGAGUUUGAUCCUGGCUCAGGAUGAACGCUAGCGACAGGCUUAACACAUGCAAGUCGAGGGGCAGCGGGGGAGAAGCUUGCUUUUCCUGCCGGCGACCGGCGCACGGGUGAGUAACACGUAUGCAACCUGCCCCUGUCAGAGGGAUAAUCCGGAGAAAUCCGGUCUAAUAUCGCAUAAAGCGUUUGCGGGGCAUCCUGCGAGCGCCAAAGGAGCAAUCCGGACAGGGAUGGGCAUGCGGCGCAUUAGCUAGUUGGGGGGGUAACGGCCCACCAAGGCGACGAUGCGUAGGGGUUCUGAGAGGAAGGUCCCCCACAUUGGUACUGAGACACGGACCAAACUCCUACGGGAGGCAGCAGUGAGGAAUAUUGGUCAAUGGGCGGAAGCCUGAACCAGCCAAGUCGCGUGAGGGAAGACGGCCCUAUGGGUUGUAAACCUCUUUUGCCGGGGAGCAAAAGCGCCGUGCGCGGUGCUAUGAGAGUACCCGGAGAAAAAGCAUCGGCUAACUCCGUGCCAGCAGCCGCGGUAAUACGGAGGAUGCGAGCGUUAUCCGGAUUUAUUGGGUUUAAAGGGAGCGCAGGCUGCGAGGCAAGUCAGCGGUCAAAUGUCGGGGCUCAACCCCGGCCUGCCGUUGAAACUGUCUUGCUAGAGUUCGAGUGAGGUAUGCGGAAUGCGUUGUGUAGCGGUGAAAUGCAUAGAUAUGACGCAGAACUCCGAUUGCGAAGGCAGCAUACCAACUCGCGACUGACGCUGAGGCUCGAAAGCGUGGGUAUCGAACAGGAUUAGAUACCCUGGUAGUCCACGCAGUAAACGAUGAUGGCUAACUGUCGGGCCUGCGGGUUCGGCGGCCAAGCGAAAGCGAUAAGCCAUCCACCUGGGGAGUACGACCGCAAGGUUGAAACUCAAAGGAAUUGACGGGGGCC